UACGUAGGGGGGCAAGCGUUGUCCGGAAUCAUUGGGCGUAAAGCGCGUGUAGGCGGUCCGGUAAGUCGGCUGUGAAAGUCCAGGGCUCAACCCUGGGAUGCCGGUCGAUACUGCCGGACUAGAGUUCGGUAGGGGAGACUGGAAUUCCUGGUGUAGCGGUGAAAUGCGCAGAUAUCAGGAGGAACACCGGUGGCGAAGGCGGGGUCUCUGGGCCGAUACUGACGCUGGAGGAGCGAAAGCGUGGGGAGCGAACAGG
rnacentral:rRNA from 1 species